GAUGAACGCUGGCGGCGUGCCUAAUACAUGCAAGUCGAACGCACAGCGAAAGGUGCUUGCACCUUUCAAGUGAGUGGCGAACGGGUGAGUAACACGUGGACAACCUGCCUCAAGGCUGGGGAUAACAUUUGGAAACAGAUGCUAAUACCGAAUAAAACUUAGUGUCGCAUGACACAAAGUUAAAAGGCGCUUCGGCGUCACCUAGAGAUGGAUCCGCGGUGCAUUAGUUAGUUGGUGGGGUAAAGGCCUACCAAGACAAUGAUGCAUAGCCGAGUUGAGAGACUGAUCGGCCACAUUGGGACUGAGACACGGCCCAAACUCCUACGGGAGGCUGCAGUAGGGAAUCUUCCACAAUGGGCGAAAGCCUGAUGGAGCAACGCCGCGUGUGUGAUGAAGGCUUUCGGGUCGUAAAGCACUGUUGUAUGGGAAGAACAGCUAGAAUAGGAAAUGAUUUUAGUUUGACGGUACCAUACCAGAAAGGGACGGCUAAAUACGUGCCAGCAGCCGCGGUAAUACGUAUGUCCCGAGCGUUAUCCGGAUUUAUUGGGCGUAAAGCGAGCGCAGACGGUUUAUUAAGUCUGAUGUGAAAGCCCGGAGCUCAACUCCGGAAUGGCAUUGGAAACUGGUUAACUUGAGUGCAGUAGAGGUAAGUGGAACUCCAUGUGUAGCGGUGGAAUGCGUAGAUAUAUGGAAGAACACCAGUGGCGAAGGCGGCUUACUGGACUGCAACUGACGUUGAGGCUCGAAAGUGUGGGUAGCAAACAGGAUUAGAUACCCUGGUAGUCCACACCGUAAACGAUGAACACUAGGUGUUAGGAGGUUUCCGCCUCUUAGUGCCGAAGCUAACGCAUUAAGUGUUCCGCCUGGGGAGUACGACCGCAAGGUUGAAACUCAAAGGAAUUGACGGGGACCCGCACAAGCGGUGGAGCAUGUGGUUUAAUUCGAAGCAACGCGAAGAACCUUACCAGGUCUUGACAUCCUUUGAAGCUUUUAGAGAUAGAAGUGUUCUCUUCGGAGACAAAGUGACAGGUGAUGCAUGGUCGUCGUCAGCUCGUGUCGUGAGAUGUUGGGUUAAGUCCCGCAACGAGCGCAACCCUUAUUGUUAGUUGCCAGCAUUCAGAUGGGCACUCUAGCGAGACUGCCGGUGACAAACCGGAGGAAGGCGGGGACGACGUCAGAUCAUCAUGCCCCUUAUGACCUGGGCUACACACGUGCUACAAUGGCGUAUACAACGAGUUGCCAACCCGCGAGGGUGAGCUAAUCUCUUAAAGUACGUCUCAGUUCGGAUUGUAGUCUGCAACUCGACUACAUGAAGUCGGAAUCGCUAGUAAUCGCGGAUCAGCACGCCGCGGUGAAUACGUUCCCGGGUCUUGUACACACCGCCCGUCACACCAUGGGAGUUUGUAAUGCCCAAAGCCGGUGGCCUAACCUUUUAGGAAGGAGCCGUCUAAGGCAGGACAGAUGACUGGGGUG
rnacentral:rRNA from 1 species